GGUUUUUUAGUAUAGUGGUCGUACAGCAACCCUUCAAGUAGUUAGCGCCAGUUCGAUUCUGGUAAAGACCU
rnacentral:tRNA from 1 species